GGUUCAGAAUGGGCUGUCAAGCUCCAAUCUUGUCAUCCAAUCCUGGCAUUUGAAGGUCCAAUGUCGGAGGCCAAUCGCUCAACGGGAUAUCCAAUGUGACAUUGGAUGGCGCCCAAUCACUGCGCGGGAUGACAUUGGACGUCACUUAUUGCUGCGCUUCUUUCCAGUCCCUCCGCCAGUGACUGACAUUGGACGUCGCCGCUGCGCUUCUUUCCAGUCCCUCCGCCAGUGACUGACAUUGGACGUCGCCGGCGAAACGGCUUCUAACAACUCUGUCAGAAAUGAGCAUCAAACCUAAGAGCCACAAGGCCAUGGGAAAUGGCGAGUGGAUGGCGAGGCUGAGGGCAUUUGCCACCACUGGCCUUUGGCCUUCAGGAGGUAAUAAACCAGCCCCAAGGCAACGGAAGUGGUAUGACCUCUACCAGAAGAUUGAGAAAUGCCCCAUGCAGGCCCAUGGACAGAGCACCCUCUUUGGAGGGUCCAAGGCCUGUAACUGUGGCUUUCACACC